AUUGAACGCUGGCGGCAGGCCUAACACAUGCAAGUCGAACGGUAACAGGAAGCAGCUUGCUGCUUCGCUGACGAGUGGCGGACGGGUGAGUAAUGUCUGGGAAGCUGCCUGAUGGAGGGGGAUAACUACUGGAAACGGUAGCUAAUACCGCAUAAUGUCGCAAGACCAAAGAGGGGGACCUUCGGGCCUCUUGCCAUCGGAUGUGCCCAGAUGGGAUAGCUUGUUGGUGGGGUAACGGCUCACCAAGGCGACGAUCCCUAGCUGGUCUGAGAGGAUGACCAGCCACACUGGAACUGAGACACGGUCCAGACUCCUACGGGAGGCAGCAGUGGGGAAUAUUGCACAAUGGGCGCAAGCCUGAUGCAGCCAUGCCGCGUGUAUGAAGAAGGCCUUCGGGUUGUAAAGUACUUUCAGCGGGGAGGAAGGGAGUAAAGUUAAUACCUUUGCUCAUUGACGUUACCCGCAGAAGAAGCACCGGCUAACUCCGUG
rnacentral:rRNA from 1 species